rnacentral:rRNA from 1 species
GCUAAGUCAGGGCAGGUAGUGGGGGGAGUACGGAGGGUGCAGGGUUUUUCCGGAUUCAGGGGGUUGAAAGGGGGCGUAGGUGGGUUGGUAAGUCAGUGGUGAAAUCCGCGAGCGUAACUUGUGAACUGCCAUUGAUACUAUCAGGCUUGAAUACCGUGGAGGUCAGCGGAAUAUGUCAUGUAGCGGUGAAAUGCUUAGAUAUGACAUAGAACACCAAUUGCGAAGGCAGCUGGCUACACGAAUAUUGACACUGAGGCACGAAAGCGUGGGGAUCAAACAGGAUUAGAUACCCGGGUAGUC